GACGAACGCUGGCGGCGUGCUUAACACAUGCAAGUCGAACGGAAAGGCCCUGCUUGCAGGGUGCUCGAGUGGCGAACGGGUGAGUAACACGUGGGUGAUCUGCCCCUUACUUUGGGAUAAGCCUGGGAAACUGGGUCUAAUACUGGAUAGGACCAUGCUGUAGGUGGUGUGGUGGAAAGAUUAGUUUCGGUAAGGGAUGAGCUCGCGGCCUAUCAGCUUGUUGGUGGGGUAAUGGCCUACCAAGGCGUCGACGGGUAGCCGGCCUGAGAGGGUGGACGGCCACAUUGGGACUGAGAUACGGCCCAGACUCCUACGGGAGGCAGCAGUGGGGAAUAUUGCACAAUGGGCGCAAGCCUGAUGCAGCGACGCCGCGUGGGGGAUGACGGCCUUCGGGUUGUAAACUCCUUUCAGCCGUGACGAAGCCCUUGUGGUGACGGUAGUGGUAGAAGAAGCACCGGCUAACUACGUG
rnacentral:rRNA from 1 species